CAGAGAUACACAUUGUUAGUAACAUUUUAGAAGAUUUUUUUUUUGGGUUAGAUACGCAAUUACAACUUUUGUGGGGCGUGAAAGAAAAGUAAUCUAACUAACAGUGUUGGGGAAAGAUACUUCUAAAAGUGAUGUGUUACAAUAUUACAGUACUCCCUAAAAAGUAUCUAAUUACGUUACUUAGUUACUUUUUAUGGAAAGUGAUGCAUUACGUUACUUUUGAGUUACUUUUUAAAUCUGGGCGGGGCUUGCUUGUUUGUUUUUAAUAUAAAAAGUUCUUCUUUUACAAAUGUAAAGCUCUUUCACAUCAGAAGUGAAGUGAACACGGCUCAGGCUGAAGGAAAUGUAAAUUCACGUCUGUACAGUAGAGAACCAAUCACAUGAAGAAUAUGACGCAGGAGAAGAAAGUUCAACACUCUUCAGCAAUAACUAAAAUCAAACACAAAUGUGUUAUUUCUGCUUAGUAUGGUUGAAUUGGAUCAUCGAAGGUCAGCAGCAAAGACAUUAGUUUAUAAAAUAGGAUUAAAUACAUAAAUGAUAUUUGUCUUAUUUAACAUAUUUCAUUAUUGCAGGUUUGUAUAAUAUUCUGAGUUUGUAUUUGACUGUUUUUAUUGAUUGUGAGGAGCACUGAAUGUGUUUUUGAGUAAACACAUGUUGAUAUUUAGUCUAGAACUACAGUGAGAUCAUGUUCACACACAACACUCUGCUCUUACUCCUGAUUUCUGUCACCAUGGCAACACCAGAGCUGUCACUCAACACAUGGAGAACCCUGUUUGCUUUCAGACCCUGUUGCAUUCGUGAUGCAGACGAACAUGUGCAGACGAGAUUUACAGACGAGCACUGACCCCAGACAUCACACCUGACAGCUCCAAUACAUCACACAAAACUAACAAGGGCUGAAGAAGAUCCCAAAGCAGGAUCAUUGUUGUCCAUGUCCAUCCCCUGAUGCCCAUUCCAGGAAACAGAACAGGACAGAAGUCCAGCCAAGAGAGAAGUCAAUACGGAGACGGAGCCAAGACACGCUUUCCAGCAGAUUCUGGCAGUGUGACGGCACAAAUCAUUUAAUACUCAGAAAGUUUGGAGGAACUGGUUUUCCUUGAGAACAAAUAGUGGACGGGAGGAACCCAUCUCAGUUAAUCAAGCAGAUUGUAAUCAAAGCACAGAGGAGAAGAUAAAAGAUAAGAGUUUUUAUCUUCAGUCGCGUUGGCACCAUUCUGGAUCCUUCUCUCUUAAGGAGCUUUGCACAUUGUACACAGUGAACUUUCACUCCGUUUAUUCCUCUGCUGCUGCAGUCUUACUAACAACCAGUAACUCUUUACAUGAAAUGGAUUCCAGAAAUUAAGUACUUGUAAUUUGAAACAUUUCCGUCACACGCUUGAGGCAUUCAGCCAAUCACAACGCACUGGAGAGCUGGCCAAUCAGAGCACACCUCGCUUUUCAGAACGAUGAGCUUUAUAAAAAUCGAGGAGAAAAAUCAUUGAGAGAAACAAUAAUGUACAGUAUGUGGAAAAUAAUGUAACCUUAAAUCACAUAAACACAUUUCAUUACAACAAAUACACAAAAUAAUGUUCUUUUUAGCAACAUCAUAUGACCCUUUAAAUAUGAAGAGAUUAAUAAGUUUCUCCAAAUGUCACCAGAAGCUUCUGGACUUGAUUAUAAUAUGAGUCAGACACUGAAGUGAGCUGCUGUUUUUGUCUCUUCUGACGAAGAUUCAUUCAUUGUUUGCCAGUGAACCACACAGAGACAUUUGCUCAGAUUUAUUUAAUGUUCAUCUGAUCUCAUUUUGUAAGUAACUUUUCUUUCUGUUUUAAAGAUGUUUUCUUCGGAUUGUUUGAGAAUAUAGGAAAACAUAACUUAAUUUGUGUUUCCUGCUACAUAAAUUUUACUUACGUAAAGAAACUCUGGCUCUAAAUCUCUCUUUUCUUUAUUCAUCUCUAUAUUCAUCCAGUGUGUUCUCUUAAGGUGUACAGUUAUUAUAAAUAUGGCAACACAUCCCUUACUCCAAAAAACAAAACACAUGGUUAAUAUGGUUAAACCAUGAUACUAUCCACAAAUAAAGCGUGGUUUUGCUACACUAACCAUAGUUUAACCAUGGGAUUUGCAGUACAAAUAACAUGAUUACUACACGUUUACUAUAGUAAAACCAUGGUUAAUUUGGAUUUGUGUGCUUUAAUAAUUUUUUCUUUGUUUUGUUUUUAUAACUGUACUGCCUUAAUAGUUUAAUGUUUUCUAUAGUUCCGAUCUGAAUCAAAAGAUUCACGAACUCGCUCCGAAGUUCCAGUCUGAAUCACAUAAUUCGAAUUUGCGAUAAUUUGCGAAACAUUCAAUUUGUGAAAUGAUUUGCGAACCUGCUUCAAAGUCCCAUUCAGAAUCACAUGAUUCAGGGAGUUCAAAUCUAAAUCAGAUGAUUUGUGAUACACGAUCCUAUUGUAGCGCUUCAAAACCUUGAAUCAUUUUGUGACGCAAUGGUUUCGAAAAGCUCAUUUUCAACCAUAUACGUGCUUUUUAAAAUCAUUACAAGCAAUGUUGAAAUUAAAAAAAUAAUUGCCUCUUUUGGUCUGGUUUUUGCUAGUGAAUCGCUUGAGCUGAAUGAUUGAAUUCACGAGUUUGAAUCAAUCGGAGAGGUUCCAUCGUAAACAACUCACUCGAUUGAAUCGGUUCGUCUUUUCGCCAUGUUUACACGACACUGUCAGCACUACUGGCUCAGCUCGCUAGUUUUAUGAAAACAACUGAAAAAAGUGGAAAAAAUAUGAUGAUCUUUUUGUGCGCAAAGAAAACAAAAAUAACGACAUUAUUCAACAAUUCUUUCAAAACAAUUCUUUCUCUUUGUAUCUUUAUAUCUAUAUGGUAUAGGAUUAUCAUGUUUAAAUCAAUGUGAUGCAUGAGUUAAUCAAAAGUAGUCUGAUUAUAUUACCUAAAAUGUGUAAUGUAAUGGAUUACGUUACUACUGUAUGUGUGAUGUCAUUUAGAAUCAGUGACGGAUUACAAUUUCUGUUAUCUACACAGCACUGACUGUG
rnacentral:lncRNA from 12 species